rnacentral:rRNA from 1 species
GAGUUUGAUCCUGGCUCAGAAUCAACGCUGGCGGCGUGCCUAACACAUGCAAGUCGAACGAGAAAGUGGAGCAAUCCAUGAGUAAAGUGGCGACCGGGUGAGUAACACGUGACUAACCUACCUCCGAGUGGGGAAUAACUCCGGGAAACCGGGGCUAAUACCGCAUAACAUCGCAAGAUCAAAGCAGCAAUGCGCUUGGAGAGGGGGUCGCGGCUGAUUAGCUAGUUGGUGAGGUAACGGCCCACCAAGGCGAAGAUCGGUAUCCGGCCUGAGAGGGCGCACGGACACACUGGAACUGAAACACGGUCCAGACUCCUACGGGAGGCAGCAGUGGGGAAUUUUGCGCAAUGGGGGAAACCCUGACGCAGCAACGCCGCGUGGAGGAUGAAGCCCUUUGGG